GGAAUAUUGGACAAUGGGCGCAAGCCUGAUCCAGCAAUGCCGCGUGUGUGAAGAAGGCCUGCGGGUUGUAAAGCACUUUCAGCAGGGAAGAAAAGCCUACGGUUAAUACCCGUGGGUCUUGACGGUACCUGCAGAAGAAGGUGCGGCCAACUACGUGCCAGCAGCCGCGGUGACACGUAGGCACCAAGCGUUGUCCGGAUUUAUUGGGCGUAAAGAGCUCGUAGGCGGUUCAGUAAGUCGGGUGUGAAAACUCUGGGCUCAACCCAGAGAGGCCACCCGAUACUGCUGUGACUUGAGUACGGUAGGGGAGCGGGGAAUUCCUGGUGUAGCGGUGAAAUGCGCAGAUAUCAGGAGGAACACCAGUGGCGAAGGCGCCGCUCUGGGCCGUAACUGACGCUGAGGAGCGAAAGCGUGGGUAGCAAA
rnacentral:rRNA from 1 species